UGCAUUGCGUCGACAACUCUAGAUGAAUACCGUUUGCAUUUUGAGAUGGAUAAGGCUUUGGCUCGUAGAUUCUAGCCAGUAUUGGUGAAUGAGCCUAGCCAGGAGGACGCUGUCAAGAUAUUACUUGGUCUGCGUGAGAAAUAUGAGACUUACCAUAAAUGCAAAUACACUUUAGAAGGGAUCAAUGCAGCACUUUACUUGUCAGCAAGAUACAUCCCUGACAGGCAUCUUCCUGAUAAGGCUAUUGAUCUGAUUGAUGAAGCUGGCAGUAUAGCUCGGAUGGAAUCAUUUAAAAGGAAGAAGGAAGAACAAUGCUCCAUUCUCUCCAAGUCACCAAACGAAUAUUGGCAAGAGAUUAGAGCUGUUCAGAGUACACAUGAAGUGGCGCUGGCUAACAGGUUGAAGUAUUCUCUUGAUGAGAAUGACAAAGAGGAUGGUGUUAAUAUUGAAGUCAUAGGGGACAACAAGAUUGCUUCGCCAUCGAUGCCUCCAACUUCAAUUAAUAUUUGGUGGUCGCAAAAGUGUGGAGACUUGAAUUUAUAUAAAGUUAGGCUUAACAUUAGUGCAAACAGUUGUAUUUUAGUUUAGAUUUAGAGUACACUUAUGUAUGCGUUGUUUGACAAUGCUUAUUUAUGAUAUAUUGAAUGGUACUUAUUUAUAUUA